rnacentral:rRNA from 1 species
GGGCGAAAGCCUGAAGCAGCAACGCCGCGUGCGCGAUGAAGGCCGUUCGGGUCGUAAAGCGCUUUUCUGGGAGAUGAGAAAGGACAGUAUCUCAGGAAUAAGUCUCGGCUAACUACGUGCCAGCAGCCGCGGUAAAACGUAGGAGGCAAGCGUUAUCCGGAUUCACUGGGCGUAAAGCGCGUGCAGGCGGUUCGGUAAGUUGGGCGUGAAAUCUCCUGGCUUAACUAGGAGAGGUCGUUCAAUACUACCGGACUUGAGAGUGGUAGAGGAAGAUGGAAUUCCCGGUGUAGUGGUGAAAUGCGUAGAUAUCGGGAGGAACACCAGUGGCGAAAGCGAUCUUCUGGACCAUUUCUGACGCUCAGACGCGAAAGCUAGGGUAGUAAACGGGAUUAGAGACCCCGGUAAUCCUAGCCGUAAACGAUGUAAACUUGGCGUCGGUGGCUUAAACUCCGUCGGUGCCGCAGCUAACGCGAUAAGUUUACCGCCUGGGGACUACGAUCGCAAGAUUA